rnacentral:rRNA from 1 species
GGCACUACGGUGCUGAAGCAACAAAUGCCCUGCUUCCAGGAAAAGCCUCUAAGCAUCAGGUAACAUCAAAUCGUACCCCAAACCGACACAGGUGGUCAGGUAGAGAAUACCAAGGCGCUUGAGAGAACUCGGGUGAAGGAACUAGGCAAAAUGGUGCCGUAACUUCGGGAGAAGGCACGCUGAUAUGUAGGUGAAGUCCCUCGCGGAUGGAGCUGAAAUCAGUCGAAGAUACCAGCUGGCUGCAACUGUUUAUUAAAAACACAGCACUGUGCAAACACGAAAGUGGACGUAUACGGUGUGACGCCUGCCCGGUGCCGGAAGGUUAAUUGAUGGGGUCAGCGCAAGCGAAGCUCUUGAUCGAAGCCCCGGUAAACGGCGGCCGUAACUAUAACGGUCCUAAGGUAGCGAAAUUCCUUGUCGGGUAAGUUCCGACCUGCACGAAUGGCGUAAUGAUGGCCAGGCUGUCUCCACCCGAGACUCAGUGAAAUUGAACUCGCUGUGAAGAUGCAGUGUACCCGCGGCAAGACGGAAAGACCCCGUGAACCUUUACUAUAGCUUGACACUGAACAUUGAGCCUUGAUGUGUAGGAUAGGUGGGAGGCUUUGAAGUGUGGACGCCAGUCUGCAUGGAGCCGACCUUGAAAUACCACCCUUUAAUGUUUGAUGUUCUAACGUGGACCCGUGAUCCGGGUUGCGGACAGUGUCUGGUGGGUAGUUUGACUGGGGCGGUCUCCUCCUAAAGAGUAACGGAGGAGCACGAAGGUUGGCUAAUCCUGGUCGGACAUCAGGAGGUUAGUGCAAUGGCAUAAGCCAGCUUGACUGCGAGCGUGACGGCGCGAGCAGGUGCGAAAGCAGGUCAUAGUGAUCCGGUGGUUCUGAAUGGAAGGGCCAUCGCUCAACGGAUAAAAGGUACUCCGGGGAUAACAGGCUGAUACCGCCCAAGAGUUCAUAUCGACGGCGGUGUUUGGCACCUCGAUGUCGGCUCAUCACAUCCUGGGGCUGAAGUAGGUCCCAAGGGUAUGGCUGUUCGCCAUUUAAAGUGGUACGCGAGCUGGGUUUAGAACGUCGUGAGACAGUUCGGUCCCUAUCUGCCGUGGGCGCUGGAGAACUGAGGGGGGCUGCUCCUAGUACGAGAGGACCGGAGUGGACGCAUCACUGGUGUUCGGGUUGUCAUGCCAAUGGCACUGCCCGGUAGCUAAAUGCGGAAGAGAUAAGUGCUGAAAGCAUCUAAGCACGAAACUUGCCCCGAGAUGAGUUCUCCCUGACUCCUUGAGAGUCCUGAAGGAACGUUGAAGACGACGACGUUGAUAGGCCGGGUGUGUAAGCGCAGCGAUGCGUUGAGCUAACCGGUACUAAUGAACCGUGAGGCUUAACCUUACAACGCCGAAG